GAUUAUACAGCCUUAAUAUGUAACACUCCUAUACCAUGAAAGAUGCUUUCACACAUUAGGAUGUUGCACAUAUACAUCUAAAUAUGUUGCACUCCUAGACAGAGAAGAUGGAUUCAUGGCAGAUAGGAAGAGUCAACAUAUACAGCCCAGAUAUGUUCCACUCCUACCCAAUGAAUAUGGUUUCAUGGUAGAUGCACAUUAGGAUGUUUAA